rnacentral:rRNA from 1 species
GUACACUCCUGCGGGAGGCAGCAGUGGGGAAUUUUGGACAAUGGGCGAAAGCCUGAUCCAGCAAUGCCGCGUGAGUGAAGAAGGCCUUCGGGUUGUAAAGCUCUUUUGUCAGGGAAGAAACGGUGAGAGCUAAUAUCUUUUGCUAAUGACGGUACCUGAAGAAUAAGCACCGGCUAACUACGUGCCAGCAGCCGCGGUAAUACGUAGGGUGCAAGCGUUAAUCGGAAUUACUGGGCGUAAAGCGUGCGCAGGCGGUUUUGUAAGUCUGAUGUGAAAUCCCCGGGCUCAACCUGGGAAUUGCAUUGGAGACUGCAAGGCUAGAAUCUGGCAGAGGGGGGUAGAAUUCCACGUGUAGCAGUGAAAUGCGUAGAUAUGUGGAGGAACACCGAUGGCGAAGGCAGCCCCCUGGGUCAAGAUUGACGCUCAUGCACGAAAGCGUGGGGAGCAAACAGGAUUAGAUACCCUGGUAGUCCCAUGA